rnacentral:rRNA from 1 species
ACUCAAAUGAAUAGACGGGGGCCCGCACAAGCGGAGGAGCAUGUGGCUUAAUUCGAUGCAACGCGAAGAACCUUACCUAGGCUUGACAUGUGACUGCACGCCCGGUGAAAGCCGGGUUCCUUCGAGGGUGUCACACAGGUGCUGCAUGGCUGUCGUCAGUUCGUGCCGUGAGGUGUUUGGUUAAGUCCACCAACGAACGCAACCCCUGCGUCCAGUUGCCAUCGGGUAAUGCCGGGAACUCUGGACGGACCGCCCCUUCAAACGGGAGGAAGGUGGGGAUGACGUCAAGUCAGUAUGGCCCUUACGCCUAGGGCUGCACACGUGCUACAAUGGCCGGUACAGAGGGACGCGAGACCGCGAGGUGGAGCAAACCCCCAAAACCGGCCCCAGUUCAGAUUGGAGUCUGCAACCCGACUCCAUGAAGUUGGAUUCGCUAGUAACGGCGCAUCAGCAUUCGGCGCCGUGAAUACGUUCCCGGGCCUUGCACACACCGCCCGU